GAAGCAUGUCUGUCCCUAGCGGAGGCGCGGGUGCCGUGCUGAGAGCGCCUGCCUGUGCGCCCCGAGCGGGGCUGGGACUCUUCCAAGAUGCCCACGUUCGCACAGAGACCCCGGAUCGCGGAAGCUCGCGUCUCGAAAGGCGGUCUCACGCCCUGCCCGUCCUGGGUUCACGGUUUUUCAUCACCUGCGGCUGUCCUGCGAUCGACCACAGCUGUGCAGGAGGGGCAGGAGGCUGGUAGCUCAGGGAUGUCUCGUCUGUGAGUUACAGCUGCACGCUCUCCAGGAAAGAAGGAAUUUCCUCUUCUCUGGAAACCCCACCACACAGCUGGUUUCUCAUUGGUGCUGCUUGCCCAUUCCCUGAGCUGUGACUGCCAGAGGAGUGGGAGGUUGGUGGUGCCUCCAGCCCAUCAGGGGCAGGCCCUGGGACCGCCUGGGAACAGGAGGACUAUGGCACAAACCGAGUGAGUGAUGGGAGCAACCCGCAGGGCUCUGCCACAUCCCUGUCUUCCUUCACUGACAUGAAACGCAGAAAAGGCAGCUUUGCCACAACACAGGAGCACGCACCGAAUGUGGCCGCCCAGGGCUCUGUCCUUGACCCUGUUGUCCAGGACUGUUUACCAAGGGCUGACAGGCACUGAGUGCCCCGUGCACCUGGCCAGACACUGCACUCAUGCAGCGGAAAGGACAGUGAACGAGACUUUGUCCCUGGCCUCCAAAGGCUUAGGGCGUAGUGGCUGUCAUGAGGCACAGUGACAAGGGCCAGGAGGGGGACCUCUUAGGGGGCCAUGCAGUGAUGGAAGCCAGAAGGAAUGAAGGCCUGCAGUGAGGAUGGAGUGGUCGGCCUGAAGCCAUCUCUAGCAAGUGGUCAGGACGCUGAUUGUUCUGCGCAGGUUGGAGGUAGGUGGUGAGUCUGAGAAAGGGGCCGGAAAGACUCCCCAGCAACUGCUGGCAAAGGGUGAAGGGCACGUUCCCACAGGAUUCAAGCCAGCUGCCUUUGGAGGGGAGACGGGCACUCAGUUUAGGCGCUCCUACAGCAGGGUCAGCAAGACAAGCAGGUUGCGGCAAGGGUCUGCGCACUGCUGUGUAAAUGUAGGGGCAUCGGGGGGCAGAAAGACCAGGGGAGAAGUGUGCAUCACCCUUGGGGUUAAGGGACAGUUGUCUGCUAGGUGUUGCUUCCUGGAGAUGGCUGAAAAGCCAGUCCAGUCUGCAGGGACCAGGCCACCACCCACCUGAUGUGGGAGCAUUUCCCCCAAUCCCUGCUGGGCUGCUGAAUCUGGGGGACAUAGGGAAGCUGAGGCUGGUGUUCUGAGUAGUGGCAGAGCUGAGCCACAGGGCAUGUCUGAGGUCAGCCCCGAGCAAAAUGGAAUAGGGACUCAGGGUGGGUCAGGUAACUGGAAAGCGGGCACUGUGCACGCAGCCCUUGAGGGGAGCCAGGGUGGGUGGGGAUCCCCCACUGUGUGCAGAAGGCAGCAGCCUUGGAAGCAGGGUGUGCUCCUCGGUGUGGUCGCUCGAUACCAGAAAAUGACUCUAAAAACUGAAGAGUGUUUGAGUUUCAUUCACACAAAACAUGGACAUCAUCUGUGAGGCUCUGUCCCAGAGAGACAGGGCCAUCCCUCAUGUCUGUUAUUGGGUUGUAGAUAAACAAAAGUAUAAAUCAAACAAACUGCAAAUUA
ensembl:lncRNA MRPL20-AS1 MRPL20 antisense RNA 1